GUACUACAAGACUUGUGCAUCUCCAGAUGGGCUCUUACAAAUUGACCCCCAGAAUCUAAGGAAAGGACUGGCCAGUGUGAGUGGUUGUGCAGUCAUUUUUAGAGCCCGGCAUUUCUGCAAAUAAGGCUAAUCGAGAAGCAAAGCUGCACCUUCAUCAAUCUGGUUCUCGGCCCUUCAUUUUUUGGGUUGAGGAACAUCGUGAUAAGAGUUUGCUUUUUUUGGAAGUCGAGGCUUGGGAGAUACGCAUGCUAAUUAUGGAAACAACAUUUAUACUUCUAUGUUGCAGAAGAAGGACGAGUAUAUCGCCCAACAAUAAUCGGACACGUCAAUGGAGGAUUUGACAUCUGAUCUAGAGGUAUCUCUACAGUUGUGGAUGGACGGGGUUGGCCGACUGAAAGCAAAGAACUUCCCAGCCUAAGAGUGCGUCGAAUUCAAGACCUCGGUGAUCUUCUUCAUCUAGCUGUUAGACUACAAGCGGGACGUCUUCCAGACUAUAGCAGUUGGAGAUGGAGCUAGCGGUCAUGCGCCAGCAAGACGAAGAAGUUAGAGAAGAUGCGCACCAGCGAGAUGAGGGCAUUCUGCUGUACAUUGUUGGGAUAACCCAAUCAAUGUCAGCCUGAUCUUCUGAACCUUUAGCCGCCAUCCAACCAACCACCUCAGCAGUCACCUAGUAGUUGUACUAAGUUUAGUAUUUUUUACAUACAAUUGUUAUAAAUAUUUUAUUUUAAUAUAAUUAAAUAAAAUUCUUUAA